rnacentral:rRNA from 1 species
GAUGAACGCUGGCGGCGUGCCUAAUACAUGCAAGUCGAGCGAACGGACGAGAAGCUUGCUUCUCUGAUGUUAGCGGCGGACGGGUGAGUAACACGUGGAUAACCUACCUAUAAGACUGGGAUAACUUCGGGAAACCGGAGCUAAUACCGGAUAAUAUUUUGAACCGCAUGGUUCAAAAGUGAAAGACGGUCUUGCUGUCACUUAUAGAUGGAUCCGCGCUGCAUUAGCUAGUUGGUAAGGUAACGGCUUACCAAGGCAACGAUGCAUAGCCGACCUGAGAGGGUGAUCGGCCACACUGGAACUGAGACACGGUCCAGACUCCUACGGGAGGCAGCAGUAGGGAAUCUUCCGCAAUGGGCGAAAGCCUGACGGAGCAACGCCGCGUGAGUGAUGAAGGUCUUCGGAUCGUAAAACUCUGUUAUUAGGGAAGAACAUACGUGUAAGUAACUGUGCACAUCUUGACGGUACCUAAUCAGAAAGCCACGGCUAACUACGU